CUCCCUGAGCUGCUCCUCUCUCCCCGGAGCUCGUGGCGUUCGGCUCUGGGCCUCUCUGCAGGUCGGAAGCCUUCCUGUCCGUCAAGAUCGUGCAUUUCCCCCAGCCGUCCUUCCCUCUCAGAAAGGGCCGUUGGCCUCUGAGAAGACAAGCGCAGAGUGAGACCGCACACGUCAGUAUUCACAUUGUCCUGUCGCGGAAGCACCCCGGUGGCCCGCUGGGCAGGCCACACUCGCUGGAGCAGUUAUACUUUCCCUGUAAGUUUCCCUUGAAGGAAGGGCUAAGGUGCCUAAAAAACAAAGCAAACAAACAAACACGCUUGAAACCCACUGAUCUGGUCCGGCCUCCCCCUGUUAUAGAUGAAGGGACAGACCCAGGGAGAGAGGAGUCUUCCUUAGCCACCCGCCAGGCGUGGCAGAAUUGAGCAGCCGCCGGGCUCAGAGGUCUGGACCCGGGUCAGAGUGAAACUCCACCUCGGGGAAGCUCAUGUAGACAGUGGGGACACACAUCCAAGGCCCCUCUUCUGCAGCACAUGGGGCCAGGGACGUCUCAGGCUGCGGAAAUUUUCAGAAUGUGUUAUACAUACUGUCACCUACGUGACAGUCCUAGUGGGGUCAGGGAACAGUACUUCGUGGGAAACAAUCAGGAUUUCUGCUUCAAAACAUAUCAACUGUCAUUGCCAAAAGGAUAAAGUCACUCUAAAGAGCCUCAUGUUGGUUCAGUUUAACUGCCCAAUAAGUUAACAGCGAAAAUGAGCUUUGGGUUUGUAGAGAGGUCUGGAGUUUGGAAAUUACAGACACGGAGUUGUAAUCUGUAAUGACAGUGCUGGACUGAGAGGGUGGCUGGAAGGCCCAACCGAGGACAAAACGAAACAAACGAGCCCAGGAGCGCCUGGCAGUGUUUCUCGGGGCCGCCGCUGCCCUCCCGAGCGUCUCCCACCUCCCGGCUCAGGGCCCUGGCCCUCCCCACGGCGUGCGCCCCAUCUGGCUCCCGGCGGUGCUUCCAGAGCGCAGAGCGCAGCCUGCUGGAGCGGCCCUCAGCCCCGUGGCCGGCAUUUGCUGUGCUCAGUUGAACAGACUUUCACACGGGGAGGCUCCUGCUUAAUCAGAACUGGUCCUUCAGGACGAACGGCGGAGGGCUUCCCAAAGGGCCAAGGGCAAGUGACGACCCUGAGUCCGGGAGAGCUGUCCUGUGGGGACUGGCGUCGGGGAGUCGGGCCGGCUAGAGGCCCCCUGGCUGGCGGUCCAGUGCUUGCCACCACCACCGUUUCCUCCUUCCUGAUCUAGCCCUCCUGGGCGCCUUGUGUUUUCNNNNNNNNNNNNNNNNNNNNNNNNNNNNNNNNNNNNNNNNNNNNNNNNNNNNNNNNNNNNNNNNNNNNNNNNNNNNNNNNNNNNNNNNNNNNNNNNNNNCGCCUUGUGUUUUCAGGAGCUGGGCCUUGGCCCCUGGGGGUUCGGUCCGUCGCUCGUUGACAAGCACGCUCCAGCCCGUGAGAUAUCAGAGGCCUUUGCGGUCGACGGGCUUCUAGGAGGGAUGUCUUCACGCUGUGGGGCGACGCACGUGCUCCAGCGGGAAGAAGGGCGUUACCGCGUCCUGUCCUGCGCGUUGUUGCCGAAAGCCGUGGCCGUCUUGUGCAGGGAGGUCCCUGCCCAGGAGGGAGGCCCACAGAGGGCAGGACGCGGAGGCGGGGCACGACCCUGGUCGCAUUGCUGAGCCCCUGGCGCUCGCCCCACGCCGGCCCUGCCCUGGGCUUUCUGCGCGCUUCCUGCUGAAGCCCUGUCUACAUGGCGUUUGGCCACCACUUGCAGCCUGGCCCCCCUUUCUCUCAUCCAGAGCACCCGCCACCUCUGCCCAGGAGCGGCCCGGGAAGGGCCUUCGGGCGGGUGGGCUCGGCAGGCCGUGGAGGCCUCCAGACCUCUGCCUGUGUGAAAGCCAGUUCUUCCAUCUGAGUGGCCAGAAAGAGGGAAAGGCUCUUCUUUUUAAUUUUGAAUUUUUAUACAAUUUAGAAAGGUUAUUUUCCAUUUAGAGUUAUAAGAAAAUACUGGCUACAUUCCUUGUGUUGCAGAAUACAUCCGUGAAUCUCUCUUUGAGCCAGUGCUUUGCCCACUUCCCCAGCCCGGCGAUCACCAGCUUGUUCUCUUUACCUGCAGGGUCUCGGUGGCUCUGUUGUACCCAGCUCUGCAGUCUCAUGGACUGUGGCUCACCAGGCUCCCCUGUCCGUGGGGUUUCCCAGGAAAGAUACCGGAGUGCGUUGCCAUCCCCUUAUUU
rnacentral:lncRNA from 1 species